rnacentral:misc_RNA from 1 species
UUAGCUUUUGAAUCAAAUUUCACUGUUAACAGGCAUGUGAUGAUAUCCUGGGCACGAGAACAUAAGAAAGUAUUUAAGCACUAUAUAACAAAUUUUUGGGAGAAGUUUUAGAUCUUAAUUGUUCUAAUUAUAAUUUGCAUAUCUAGUUCUUUGCAAAUUGAACAUAUAAACUUGUUUUACUCAAUGAUAAUUUUCUUUGAACAUCUCAACUUGCACAAUUUCAAGGAG